rnacentral:rRNA from 1 species
UCGGGAAUUUUGGGCAAUGGGCGAAAGCCUGACCCAGCAACGCCGCGUGAAGGAUGAAGUAUUUCGGUAUGUAAACUUCGAAAGAAUAGGAAGAAUAAAUGACGGUACUAUUUAUAAGGUCCGGCUAACUAUGUGCCAGCAGCCGCGGUAAUACGUAGGGACCAAGCGUUGUUCGGAUUUACUGGGCGUAAAGGGCGCGUAGGCGGCAAUUCAAGUCAUCUGUGAAAUCUCCGGGCUUAACUCGGAACGGUCAGAUGAUACUGCUUUGCUAGAGUGCAGAAGGGGCAAUCGGAAUUCUUGGUGUAGCGGUGAAAUGCGUAGAUAUCAAGAGGAACACCUGAGGUGAAGACGGGUUGCUGGGCUGACACUGACGCUGAGGCGCGAAAGCGUGGGGAGCAAACAGGAUUAGAUACCCCCGUAGUCCCUGAGCGGGCUGGCAAGGCGCAU